rnacentral:rRNA from 1 species
GAUGAACGCUAGCGGAAGGCAUAAUACAUGCAAGUCGAACGGAUGUAGCAAUACAUUAGUGGCGCACGGGUGCGUAACGCGUAUGCAACCUACCUUCAUCAGGGGGAUAACUACCCGAAAGGGUGGCUAACACCGCAUAAUACUACUGAAUGGCAUCAUUUGGUAUUUAAAUCUGAGGAGGAUGAAGAUGGGCAUGCGUCUGAUUAGCUAGUUGGUGUGGUAACGGCGCACCAAGGCGACGAUCAGUAGGGGAACUGAGAGGUUGGUCCCCCACACUGGCACUGAGAUACGGGCCAGACUCCUACGGGAGGCAGCAGUAGGGAAUAUUGGUCAAUGGUGGGAACACUGAACCAGCCAUUCCGCGUGCAGGAAGAAGGGUCUCUGACUUGUAAACUGCUUUAGCAAGGGAAGAAAAAGCUCAUGCGUGAGAAAUUGACGGUACCUUGAGAAUAAGCACCGGCUAACUACGUGCCAGCCGCCGCAGUAA